rnacentral:rRNA from 1 species
GACGAACGCUGGCGGCGUGCCUAAUACAUGCAAGUAGAACGCUGAAGGAGGAGCUUGCUCUUCUGGAUGAGUUGCGAACGGGUGAGUAACGCGUAGGUAACCUGCCUGGUAGCGGGGGAUAACUAUUGGAAACGAUAGCUAAUACCGCAUAAGAGUAGAUGUUGCAUGACAUUUGCUUAAAAGGUGCAAUUGCAUCACUACCAGAUGGACCUGCGUUGUAUUAGCUAGUUGGUGGGGUAACGGCUCACCAAGGCGACGAUACAUAGCCGACCUGAGAGGGGGAUCGGCCACACUGGGACUGGGACACGGCCCAGACUCCUACGGGAGGCAGCAGGAGGGAAUCUUCGGCAAUGGACGGAAGUCUGACCGAGCAACGCCGCGGGAGUGAAGAAGGUUUUCGGAUCGUAAAGCUCUGUUGUAAGAGAAGAACGAGUGUGAGAGUGGAAAGUUCACACUGUGACGGUAUCUUACCAGAAAGGGACGGCUAACUACGUG